rnacentral:misc_RNA from 1 species
UUAACAUUUGUUAUAAACAGGUUCAGACAGAUGACAUGAAAUUGCAAGGGUUUGAUGUAUACCUUUCGCGAGUGCUCCCCGUCGGAUUUGGCUUUCGCCAUCGUCCGGGGGUGACCGGGAUCACUGCCUCGCGGAAGCAACAGGUAACGUACGCAGAUGGGUUUGAAAAUGUAUAUUCGAGAGAAUACAGAUUUACUUUUAAUGAUCCUUCCGCAGGUUCACCUACGGAAA